rnacentral:rRNA from 1 species
UACGGAGGGUGCAAGCGUUAAUCGGAAUAACUGGGCGUAAAGCGCACGCAGGCGGUCAGAUAAGUCAGAUGUGAAAUCCCCGGGCUCAACCUGGGAACUGCAUUUGAAACUGUCUGACUAGAGUCUUGUAGAGGGGGGUAGAAUUCCAGGUGUAGCGGUGAAAUGCGUAGAGAUCUGGAGGAAUACCGGUGGCGAAGGCGGCCCCCUGGACAAAGACUGACGCUCAGGUGCGAAAGCGUGGGGAGCAAACAGG